CAAUAGCGUAUAUUAAAGUUGUUGCGGUUAAAAAGCUCGUAGUUGGAGUUCUGCCAGGUGCCGCCUGUCCGCCCCAGUGGUGAGUACGUGGCGCGCAUUUGGCCCUUUCAAGGGGAGCGUAACUGCACUUUAUUGUGUGGUGCGGGAUCCUUGACUUUUACUUUGAGGAAAUAGGAGUGUUCCAAGCAGGCUCUCGUCGUGCACAGCUCAGCAUGGAAUAAUAGCAUUGGACCUCGAUUCUAAGCUGUUGGUUGCCAGAAGCGAGGUAAUGAUGAAGAGGGAUAGUUGGGGGCAUUCGUAUUUAACUGUCAGAGGUGAAAUUCUUGGAUUUAUGAAAGACGAACUUCUGCGAAAGCAUUUGCCAAGGAUGUUUUCAUUGA
rnacentral:rRNA from 1 species